CACGUAGAAGGCUAGUGUUAUUCAUCUUUAUUAGGUUUAAAGGGUACUUAGACGGGAAACUCAAGCCAUAAUAGGGACUAAUUUUCUAGAGUUUUAUGAGAGAAGGGGCGAAUUUCCGGAGGAAAGUUGAUAUUUUGUGAUACUGGAAGGACGGGUAACGGCGAAGGCAACCUUUUAUGUAAAAACUGACGUUGAGGGACGAAGCCUUGGGUAACGAGAAGG
rnacentral:rRNA from 1 species